rnacentral:rRNA from 1 species
UGGGGAAUAUUGGACAAUGGGCGCAAGCCUGAUCCAGCCAUGCCGCGUGUGUGAAGAAGGCCUUUUGGUUGUAAAGCACUUUAAGCGAGGAGGAGGCUACUUGGAUUAAUACUCUAAGAUAGUAGACGUUACUCGCAGAAUAAGCACCGGCUAACUCUGUGCCAGCAGCCGCGGUAAUACAGAGGGUGCGAGCGUUAAUCGGAUUUACUGGGCGUAAAGCGUGCGUAGGCGGCUUCUUAAGUCGGAUGUGAAAUCCCUGAGCUUAACUUAGGAAUUGCAUUCGAUACUGGGAAGCUAGAGUAUGGGAGAGGAUGGUAGAAUUCCAGGUGUAGCGGUGAAAUGCGUAGAGAUCUGGAGGAAUACCGAUGGCGAAGGCAGCCAUCUGGCCUAAUACUGACGCUGAGGUACGAAAGCAUGGGGAGCAAACAGG